rnacentral:rRNA from 1 species
UACGGAGGGUGCAAGCGUUAUCCGGAUUUACUGGGUUUAAAGGGUGCGUAGGCGGGCUUUUAAGUCAGUGGUGAAAUCUCCGGGCUCAACCCGGAAAUUGCCAUUGAUACUAUUAGCCUUGAAUUAAGUUGAGGUGGGCGGAAUGUGUCAUGUAGCGGUGAAAUGCUUAGAUAUGACACAGAACACCGAUUGCGAAGGCAGCUCGCUAAACUUAUAUUGACGCUGAGGCACGAAAGCGUGGGGAUCAAACAGG